rnacentral:rRNA from 1 species
UUGAACGCUGGCGGCAUGCCUUACACAUGCAAGUCGAACGGUAGAGGGGCAACCCUUGAGAGUGGCGAACGGGUGAGUAAUGCAUCGGAACGUGCCCAGUCGUGGGGGAUAACGCAGCGAAAGCUGUGCUAAUACCGCAUGUGAUCUGUGGAUGAAAGCAAGGGACCGCAAGGCCUUGUGCGAUUGGAGCGGCCGAUGUCAGAUUAGCUAGUUGGUAGGGUAAAAGCCUACCAAGGCGACGAUCUGUAGCUG